CUUCGGAAGAAUAUCAGAAGAGAAAAUUAAGCUUGCUGCAAAAGUUGGUGGAUCAUAUUAUGGAAAAAAAAUAAUCAUUUGAAAAGGUUGCUCGACGAAUGAUGAUAUGUCCAAUUUCUACGGGACAUAAAACAAUAAUGAGCAAUAGUGCAGAAGCGCAUUAUUGGGAUCUCCAUGGCAGACAGCUACAUAGUGCAAACGAGGCUACACUGUCAUCAAGUUAACGAAAGAGUGCU